UGGGGAAUAUUGGACAAUGGGCGCAAGCCUGAUCCAGCCAUGCCGCGUGAGUGAUGAAGGCCCUAGGGUUGUAAAGCUCUUUCACCGGUGAAGAUAAUGACGGUAACCGGAGAAGAAGCCCCGGCUAACUUCGUGCCAGCAGCCGCGGUAAUACGAAGGGGGCUAGCGUUGUUCGGAUUUACUGGGCGUAAAGCGCACGUAGGCGGACUUUUAAGUUAGGGGUGAAAUCCCGGGGCUCAACCCCGGAACUGCCUUUGAUACUGGAAGUCUUGAGUAUGGUAGAGGUGAGUGGAAUUCCGAGUGUAGAGGUGAAAUACGUAGAUAUUCGGAGGAACACCAGUGGCGAAGGCGGCUCACUGAACCAUUACUGACGCAGAGGUGCGAAAGCGUGGGGAGCAAACAGG
rnacentral:rRNA from 1 species